rnacentral:rRNA from 1 species
UGGGGAAUAUUGCACAAUGGGCGCAAGCCUGAUGCAGCCAUGCCGCGUGUAUGAAGAAGGCCUUCGGGUUGUAAAGUACUUUCAGCGGGAGGAAGGGAGUAAAGUUAAUACCUUUGCUCAUUGACGUUACCCGCAGAAGAAGCACCGGCUAACUCCGUGCCAGCAGCCGCGGUAAUACGGAGGGUGCAAGCGUUAAUCAGAAUUACUGGGCGUAAAGCGCACGCAGGCGGUUUGUUAAGUCAGAUGUGAAAUCCCCGGGCUCAACCUGGGAACUGCAUCUGAUACUGGCAAGCUUGAGUCUCGUAGAGGGGGGUAGAAUUCCAGGUGUAGCGGUGAAAUGCGUAGAGAUCUGGAGGAAUACCGGUGGCGAAGGCGGCCCCCUGGACGAAGACUGACGCUCAGGUGCGAAAGCGUGGGGAGCAAACAGG